rnacentral:rRNA from 1 species
AGCAGCCGCGGUAAUUCCAGCUCCAAUAGCGUAUAUUAAAGUUGUUGCAGUUAAAAAGCUCGUAGUUGAAUUUCGGGGUCAGUAGAUUGGUCGUGCCACUGGUAUGUACUGGUCUUACUGGCUCCUCCUUCCUGAUGAACCGUAAUGCCAUUAAUUUGGUGUUGCGGGGAGACUGGACUGUUACUUUGAAAAAAUUGAGUGUUUAAAGCAGGCUAACGCUUGAAUACAUUAGCAUGGAUAAUGAAAUAGGACGUUCGAUCUUAUUUUGUGGUUUCAGGAUUGACGUAAUGAUUAAUAGGGAUAGUUGGGGGCAUUAGUAUUCAAUUGUCAGAGGUGAAAUUCUUGGAUUUAUUGAAGACUAACUAACUGCGAAAGCAUUUGCCUAAGGAUGUUUUCAUUAAUACAAGAACGAAAGUUAGGGGAUCGAAGACGAUACAGAUACCGUCGUAGUCUUAACCAUAAACUAUGCCGACUAGGGAUCGGAUGAUGUUAAUUUUAAUGACUNA